CCUACGGGAGGCAGCAGUAGGGAAUAUUGCUCAAUGGGGGAAACCCUGAAGCAGCAACGCCGCGUGGAGGAUGAAGGUUUUCGGAUUGUAAACUCCUUUUGUUAGAGAAGAUAAUGACGGUAUCUAACGAAUAAGCACCGGCUAACUCCGUGCCAGCAGCCGUGGUACUACGGAGGGUGCAAGCGUUACUCGGAAUCACUGGGCGGAAAGGGCGCGUAGGCGGGGUAGCAAGUCAGAUGUGAAAUGCUAUGGCUUAAACAUAAAACUGCAUUUGAAACUGUGAUUCUAGAGUAUGGGAGAGGUAAGUGGAAUUCUUGGUGUAGGGGUGAAAUCCGUAGAGAUCAAGAGGAAUACUCAUUGCGAAGGCGACCUGCUAGAACAUAACUGACGCUGAUGCUCGAAAGCGUGGGGAGCAAACAGGAUUAGAUACCCUUGUAGUC
rnacentral:rRNA from 1 species